rnacentral:rRNA from 1 species
UACGGAGGGUGCAAGCGUUAUCCGGAUUCACUGGGUUUAAAGGGUGUGUAGGCGGAUAUUUAAGUCAGUGGUGAAAUCUCCGGGCUCAACCCGGAAACUGCCAUUGAUACUAUUUAUCUUGAAUUCUGUUGAGGUGGGCGGAAUACAUCAUGUAGCGGUGAAAUGCUUAGAUAUGAUGUAGAACACCGAUUGCGAAGGCAGCUCACUAAGCAGACAUUGACGCUGAGGCACGAAAGCGUGGGGAUCAAACAGG